AGUGCCCUGUCUCAUGCAUCAAACCUGGACUGGCGAUCUAUUUCACAUAUGGUAAUAUACAUAUUUCAAUGCUAUUCUCUCAAAUCAUCACACCCUCACCUCCCAUAUAGCUCAAGAGUCUGUUUC